AUUGAACGCUGGCGGCAUGCUUUACACAUGCAAGUCGAGCGGUAACAGGCCUUCGGGUGCUGACGAGUGGCGAACGGGUGAGUAAUGCAUCGGAACGUACCCAGAGGUGGGGGAUAACGCAGCGAAAGCUGUGCUAAUACCGCAUGUGAUCUGAGGAUGAAAGCGGGGGACCGAGCAGCAAUGUUUGGCCUCGCGCCUUUGGAGCGGCCGAUGUCGGAGUAGCUAGUUGGUGGGGUAAAGGCCUACCAAGGCGACGAUCCGUAGCUGGUCUGAGAGGACGACCAGCCACACUGGGACUGAGACACGGCCCAGACUCCUACGGGAGGCAGCAGUGGGGAAUUUUGGACAAUGGGCGCAAGCCUGAUCCAGCAAUGCCGCGUGCGGGAAGAAGGCCUUCGGGUUGUAAACCGCUUUUGGCAGGAACGAAACGGUGUCCGCUAAUACCGGGCGCUAAUGACGGUACCUGCAGAAUAAGCACCGGCUAACUACGUG
rnacentral:rRNA from 1 species